rnacentral:lncRNA from 1 species
AGGACGCUUCGAGCCAUGUCUUGCUAGGUCCUUUCAUUAGUCUUUGCUUUGUUUGUCGUUUCGUUUUAAACUGUUGAAUUUGUUUUCUUUUGGUUGUAUUUGCUCGUUGGUUGAUCUAUCAGUUGGAGAGAAAGGAGCGAGGCCACUUAUCAUAAGGACCAGCAGUCCAUGUAGCCCUGUUAGUAGGGUCUACACCUCCGAUGAGACAACUUGACCGCAUUGUAAUAUUGCC